rnacentral:rRNA from 1 species
UACGUAGGGUCCGAGCGUUGUCCGGAAUUACUGGGCGUAAAGAGCUCGUAGGUGGUUUGUCGCGUUGUUCGUGAAAACUCACAGCUCAACUGUGGGCGUGCGGGCGAUACGGGCAGACUAGAGUACUGCAGGGGAGACUGGAAUUCCUGGUGUAGCGGUGGAAUGCGCAGAUAUCAGGAGGAACACCGGUGGCGAAGGCGGGGUCUCUGGGCAGUAACUGACGCUGAGGCGCGAAAGCUAGGGGAGCAAACAGG